AAUCCGGCUCUCCCCUACUUCCACGCUCAGUUUUUCCUCUACCUGCUGCAGUCUUAGCUGACUCGUGUUUAUUAACCAGUCAGACAUGCAGGGUGUUUGGAAAAUGAACACGAAGGCUGCAUCCUGUGUAAGGGAAAGUGGAGUGACACACGUCCUCGGAGGUCACACCUGGCAACAGCUACUGACAUUUAAAACGAACAACUCUUGGACCUACCGAUUUUAUUUAUGGGGAGUUACCUGAAGGGCAUACCGGUACUUGCAGAA